GACGUAGGGCGCGAGCGUUGUCCGGAUUUAUUGGGCGUAAAGAGCUCGUAGGCGGCUUGUCGCGUCGACUGUGAAAUCCCCGCGGCUCAACCGCGGGUCUGCAGUCGAUACGGGCAGGCUAGAGUUCGGUAGGGGAGACUGGAAUUCCUGGUGUAGCGGUGAAAUGCGCAGAUAUCAGGAGGAACACCGAUGGCGAAGGCAGGUCUCUGGGCCGAUACUGACGCUGAGGCACGAAAGCGUGGGGAGCAAACAGG
rnacentral:rRNA from 1 species